CAGUAGCCGCGGGAAUACGGAGGGAGCUAGCGUUGUUCGGAAUUACUGGGCGUAAGGCGCACGUAGGCGGUUAUUCAAGUCAGAGGUGAAAGCCCGGGGCUCAACCCCGGAACUGCCUUUGAAACUAGAUGACUAGAAUCUUGGAGAGGUCAGUGGAAUUCCGAGUGUAGAGGUGAAAUUCGUAGAUAUUCGGAAGAACACCAGUGGCGAAGGCGACUGACUGGACAAGUAUUGACGCUGAGGUGCGAAAGCGUGGGGAGCAAACAGGAUUAGAUACCCCUGUAGUCCCUGUCUCUUAUAA
rnacentral:rRNA from 1 species